rnacentral:rRNA from 1 species
UACGUAGGGCGCAAGCGUUGUCCGGAAUUAUUGGGCGUAAAGCGCGUGUAGGCGGCUCGGUAAGUCUGCUGUGAAAGUCCAGGGCUCAACCCUGGAAUGCCGGUGGAUACUGUCGAGCUCGAGUCCGGAAGAGGCGAGUGGAAUUCCUGGUGUAGCGGUGAAAUGCGCAGAUAUCAGGAGGAACACCAAUGGCGAAGGCAGCUCGCUGGGACGGUACUGACGCUGAGACGCGAAAGCGUGGGUAGCAAACAGG